rnacentral:rRNA from 6 species
UCCGUAGGUGAACCUGCGGAGGGAUCA